UAUUCUCAAUUCUCUCAGUUUUUGCUGGGAUGAUAUUGGACUUGGAGGUUAUUGCCGGCAUCCUUGUGAAACCGGCUCCUCUUAAAUACAUCAGUGUGAAUAUUCACUUCAUACUCAGUGUGAUAAUUAUCUACGCUGUGCAUGAGUGAUGUGACUUCAUGCUUCAAACCGUCGCAAGACAUUUCUUUGAC
rnacentral:misc_RNA from 1 species